rnacentral:rRNA from 1 species
UACGUAGGGGGCAAGCGUUGUCCGGAUUUAUUGGGCGUAAAGAGCGUGUAGGCGGCCAGACAGGUCCGUUGUGAAAACUCGAGGCUCAACCUCGAGAUGUCGAUGGAAACCGUCUGGCUAGAGUCCGGAAGAGGAGUGUGGAAUUCCUGGUGUAGCGGUGAAAUGCGCAGAUAUCAGGAAGAACACCUAUGGCGAAGGCAAUCCCCUGGGCCUGCACUGACGCUCAUGCACGAAAGCGUGGGGAGCAAACAGG